GCAAAAGUAACGAAGAACACAGCAAGGGGAGGAGAAGGGUUCCGAACCCUUAUUCCAAUUUCCAAUCACCGUAACUUUCCAAUCCGAGUUCCGAUCACCGCACCGUUUGCGGCUACGUGACCACCGCGUCGAGCUCUACGAUUCUAUCGGAACAAUUUUAUAGAUGCAGGUCGAGAGGCACCUCGCUAAGCGUCUAGACUUUUGAAGUGGAGUGUUUUUUUUUUUUGGGUUUCUUUCUGAUGUUUAAUUAUGUAUUUAUGUACUUAGUUUUCUCUCCGAAUGACUGGUUUCUUUUGAUCCUCUUAGAGGCUUAUAGAGAGACAGAGUUUUGUUUAUGUAAAUUUAGGUUUUGGAUAUGUAUAUAUAUGUGUAAAUAUUCUCCGGCCAGCCUUGGCUUCGCGGGCUGAGUUAGGAGCUUGUUAUUUUGUAUUUUUGGCCCUCUAUUCCUACUUUUGUUAUCUUAUGCUUGAUAACUAUAGUUUUUUUAGU